GGGGCGCGGGGGGGGUGGGGGGAAGGGGGAGGGACUGAGACAGAAGGGGACUGGGUCACAGACUGAGAUGGGCAGUGGAAGAGAGGAGCGGGGAUGGCGAGAGAAGGGGAUCGGGGGAGGGCCGAGUAGAGAGAUGGAGCCGUCCGGUUUCACAAGUGGGUUUAUUCCGACGCGGGACAGCAGACCGUGUACCCCGGGCGAGGGGACUCCCCACGCUCCCCUUCCCCACCUCCCCCCCCCCCCCACCCACCCCCACUUCCCACGGUGGUCUGGGGCGCUCCCAGCUGGUAGGGUGCCCCUGGGAGGGAGCACCCGCCCCCCCCCCCCGCCAGAUUCUGCUCAGCACCCUGGGGACAAGAGGUUAGAGCCGGCCGCCGCCAGACGCACCUCUCCCCACCCAAACCAGUGCGUCUGAGUGAGAGGGGACGUCUCCCCAACCUCUGCCCUCCCCGUGAAAUCAUCCCCACACCCCUCCUUCCAGGUCCCUCGUACUGGGACUUCACCGGACCCUUCCUGGGGGUGCUUCCCCCACACCCCUGGGGUAGUCCCGGGCCGUUCCGAAGUCCCCUUCCUGUGUGUGAAGCCCUGCCGUUCCCUUGGGCCUGUUCCCUGUCCCUGGAGGUCACUCCUUGGUGCCGCAGGAUGGGUCAGUCCAUCUUCCAAAUCUUCUCGGCCGAAGUCGGGUGUCUGGGGCGGGGUGAGGUGGACGGAACGGUCUGCUGGUCCCGUCCCGGCUGCCCAGGUCUCUCAUUGGCCGUGUCCCGGCUGCCCAGGUCUCUCAUUGGCCGUGUCCCGGCUGCCCAGGUCUCCCAUUGGCCGUGUCCCGGCUGCCCAGGUCUCUCAUUGGCCGUGUCCCAGCAGCACAGGUCUCUCAUUGGCCGUGGCCCAGCAGCCCAAGUCUCUCAUUGGCCGUGUCCCGGCUGCCCAGGUCUCUCAUUGGCCAUGUCCCAGCAGCACAGGUCUCUCAUUGGCCGUGUCCCAGGUGUCCAGGUCUCUCACUGGCUGUGUCCCUGCACCUCAGGUCCCUCAUUGGCUGCGUCCCAACAGUACAGGCUCCUGAUUGGUGAGUUCCAGCAUCCCAGACGCCCCACUGGCUGCAGCCCAGUCCCUCAUUGGCUGUGUACAACCUGCUCGGGUCUGUCACUGGCCCUCCUUCAUCAGCAGUCAAAGGGUAUUGGCCACGUCUCAGCAGCCCAAGUCUCUCAUUGGCCGUGACUCAGAUGCCCAGUCUCCUCAUAGGUCGUCUCCAAACAGACGAGGCAUCUCCAGCUUCCACGCUGGCUAUCUUCCAGCUCCCUGAUUGGCCGCGUCCCAACAGUCCAGGCCCCUCAUUGGUCGGUUCCAGCAGCCGAGUCUUCUGAUUGGCCAUCUUCCAGCACCCCUCGGCCUUCCCCUCUUC